rnacentral:rRNA from 1 species
AACAGGAUUAGAUACCCUGGUAGUCCACGCCCUAAACGAUGAAUACUCGAUGUUGGCGAUAUACGGUCAGCGUCUAAGCGAAAGCGUUAAGUAUUCCACCUGGGGAGUACGCCCGCAAGGGUGAAACUCAAAGGAAUUGACGGGGGCCCGCACAAGCGGAGGAGCAUGUGGUUUAAUUCGAUGAUACGCGAGGAACCUUACCCGGGCUUGGAAGUUAGUGAAUGAUACAGAGACGUAUCAGUCCUUCGGGACACGAAACUAGGUGCUGCAUGGCUGUCGUCAGCCCGUGCCGUGAGGUGUUGGGUUAAGUCCCGCAACGAGCGCAACCCCUGUGUUUAGUUGCCAGCGCGUAAUGGUGGGGACUCUAAACAGACUGCCUAUGCAAAUAGAGAGGAAGGAGGGGACGACGUCAAGUCAUCAUGGCCCUUACGUCCGGGGCUACACACGUGCUACAAUGGACAGUACAGAGGGCCGCUACCUGGCAACAGGAUGCCAAUCUCAAAAAGCUGUUCACAGUUCGGAUCGGGGUCUGCAACUCGACCCCGUGAAGUUGGAUUUGCUAGUAAUCGCGUAUCAGCAAUGACGCGGUGAAUACGUUCCCGGGCCUUGUACACACCGCCCGUCAAGCCAUGGAAGCUGGAAGUGCCUGAAGUGCGUAACCGUAAGGAGCGUCCUAGGGUAAAGUCGGUAACUGGGGCUAAGUCGUAACAAGGUAACC